CAUUGAAACACCAUUUCCCGUACGAUAGCCGAAGUUAAGCAACGCCGAGCUUGGUUUGUACGUAAAUAGGUGACCGCUUGGGAAUACCAGGUACUGUA